ACUAACAAUCUCCCCCGCUACCCCUAUUUUUGUCUCUAACAAGCCUCAUUGCCUUAGACUGCGCAGCUACAGCCCCUGGAUGGCGGUCUCAUGCGAGCCAGUACAUCAACUUCAACUUUGCUCAUUUUCUAAAUACAUGAAGCCUUUAUUUUUACACAUGGUUAAUAACAAACGGACUGUUAUCUUCCUGGGACGGCUUGCCAAAUGCGAGAGGAGACGCUACAAGUCUACUAUUUGCAGUUCUCAUUCCUUCUGGUUUUGGUUGUUGUCUGCGCUCAGUUUGAACGUGUAGAAAUACUUUUGCAACAUUCGUUGAUUGUACCAUGUGACCAAUGAAUAUGAGCGACCUGUUUUGAAGAUAUCUUUAAAAAAAUUAGUUUGAAAAAUAAUUUGUGGAGAUUAUGUUUAGAUACUUUUAUUGUUGCCUCGGUUAUUAAUUGGAAAUAAUUAUUUCCAGUAGUUGUCGACUCAUUUUAGCAAACGAGACUGUAUGUGUGCUUCGAUCAAUUCUCAGCGGUAAGAGAGUGAAGAGGUAACCUUUGACAGGUGUUAACUGAUUUGUCCACCGGACAGUUUUCGCUUUAGAUCCCGGAACAAGCUAGAUCUUCUUCUCCUUUACACCAAAGCCCAAGCGCCGACAGAUUAAGACCAUAUGAACCACGGCAAAUCCGCCACGACCAGGGGCUCCAAAUCCCUUUGAUUCAAACAGAUACAUUUCUCUGCGGCGGAGGAAAUUCGCAUGUAUGUUGCUUUCUCGCAAUCUACAUGGUUAAUCUUUAAAAACGUGUAUCAUCGCAUAUAUUGAUGUAUUUAAAGCAGAAAAAAUAAUGCAUGUAAAAAAACACAAGUUCAACGAACAAUUUAGCGAAUUGUCUCGAUACAAAUAUUCAAAUCUAAUCCAAAUUCUAAUAGUAUUUUUUGUUAAACUGUACCGUGCAGAAGCAUGCAAAUAAUUUAAAACAGAAGUGUGGCAGAUAUGUAUGAACUGCUCAGAUUACUUGAUUUAUCUUAUACCUAGUGUACUAUUUUUAUACACAUAUAUCAAAGGUUAAGCAAAUAAUAAAUACCAUGUGGCUGAUUGCAAUAAAAAUGAAACUAACAAAAAUGAAAAAUGAUGUUUAUAUAACUUGCAGUAUUUGGUGAACUGAUUGUGUCUCUCUGAACCGAAAGGGAUCGCUGCAGGCGCUGCUACAGAAAAUGUGCAUGGGGUCACGUGUUCCUGCACUCUGAAAACCUCUCAAGAGUGAAGAAUGAUGACGCUCAAACUUAGUGGACCAAUGCUAAGUUCAGAGCACAACAAAUAGUAAACAGAAGAAGAUAUUAUGUCGACUGUGAUAUAAGACGUUUUGAAUGCAUCUGCGCUUAACAGCUGCACCACUACCUGGGAAACUCCGUUUGGGACAAAGAUAAUAAUAUUCAGUAUUGAUGGCACGCUAUUUGAUGUAGAUAGAAAUAAAACAUGCAUAUAAUGAUGUUUUAAAUAUUUAAAUAAUUAUCAAGAGUAUUGUCUAGAUUAAAUUAGUUUUAUUGAUUCAGGAGUAAAUCGUGAUUUUAUUCAUUCCAACCCAAUGCAGUCUACUAGCCUAACUAUUUGUGUUUAUUGUUUUUGCUAAAGCACAGUGGAAGUAGGAAAUGCCCACACUAUAAAUAGCACAUCUAUUUGUAUGGAUAGCCGGGCUAGCAUUUGAAUGACGUCAGUAUUCAUUGAUAGACUAUUAUUGGCAGUAAUGAGUUCCUCUUCACCAAUAGGAUUUGAUAAGCAGCCUGUUUAGCAACAUUGGAGGGGUGACUGAAGGAAGUCAUGGAAAGAGAAAUGCAGCAAGGAGUAGUCACACACGCUAGGAGAAAGACCCAAUCUCACAUAGACAUGGACUACUAAUGGGCAUAUCUAUAUCGGGAUGUUUUGUAUUGGACACGAUGUUAUUUCAAGAGGUUAACAAGCUCAUGAGUGGUUGAAAACAUCACCCUCUCAGGCUAAACCGGAGCGGUUUGGGUCACACUGCAGCUACAUAACCUAAAAGACUUAACUACUGGGGUCUGGAAAUGGCUGCAUUCCUCAAACAUUGUCUGAAACAUGCACGCACAUGCACACACGCACGCACGCACAACACACACACACACACACACACACACACACACACACACACACACACUGAAAUCCCAUCUGCUUUGAAUGUUGGGAGAGCUGCAGCUUUUUAAAGGUGCAUCAUUGCCUCCCAGUCUGGCCCUAAAGGUGACACCUCAACACCUUUGUCUCCUAAUCAUCCAUGGCCCCGUGACCUCAUCUCAGGCAGCAUGAGAGUAAGUGAAGGUGAAGCAUGUUUGUUAGCACUGAGGCCAUUUGUCGGCCUUAGGAGCAAUGUUAAAUACAAGAAAAAGAUCAAAUAAAGGGAAAAAAAUGAUUUGGCAUGCAGGCACAAACAUUUAAUAGCCAGUAAUUGGCUUUAAUGCCAAGUGCGCUCAAAAUAAAUGUGUUUUGUGAUGGAAGCUUGGUUGUCAAAUAAGAUAAAAAUUGGAUGCAAAAUGUUAGACAGUAAAAGAAUAAAACAUCAGUUUUAUUGUUUAUAAAAGCAGACAAGCAUUUCAAGAUAUAGUAUAUAAAUACCAUACCAUACCAUACACUGCAAAAACAAAUCCCUUAAAAAACAGAUAAAUUACAUUUUCCUUUAUUUUACGGACAUUUCCGUUCAUGCUUAAGUAAAAUUGAAUGCAGGACAAAAUGUAUAAGACAGGUAAAUCAACUGUAAAAGUGAAUAUGUAAAAUUCCGUCAUAUUCAUACAGUAUUUUGUGCACUAUAUCUUACAGACUUUUUAAAUAACAUUUUAAAAGUGAUAAUUUUUAAAGAAGUCUUAAUAUUUUAAUAAGUUUUAAUAUUACAUCUUGCAGAAAUUAUCUACAUUCUAUUAAUUAUAAUAUUUGUUGUAUUUUAAUGUAAAUUUGUUUAUUUUCAUUAUAUAAUAAGGCUAGCAUGAAAUAAGCGCAUAUGUCAUUUGCAAAAUUAGCAUCUCGCUGUGCCUGCUUGGCUACACACUCAUACAUCCAUACAUAAUAUGAUAUAGUUUGGUCACCUGGACAGCUAAACUGUAUGUGGGGGGAACCUCCUCAGUACAACAAGCUGUUAUAGCGGCAUUGACUAGUAUUAGACCUGAUAAAGUCCUGUUAGACCAUGGUGCUAUCACAUUUCUGAACAUGAGAAAAAUAACAUUUUAGCAAGGGGGUCAGGUGGAGAAAUGGCACCUCUAAAUGAGGGUUAAGGCCCUAUCAUUGUCUGUUCUUACGCUGCCUCUCCCUCGUCAAAUAAUAGCAGUGACCUUCGACGGGCUGUGGGCCUGUUAGGGCUCCUGGCGCUGGAGAGAAUCCAUUCACAGGGGCCGAUCGGAGCAGCCCCGCUCCAAAUGGCUUUUUCUUCCUGCACACAAUCAGCCGAAACAGCCGCUGAAUGAAAACACUGAUUACAUAAGAAAGGUCCUCUACUGGAGAUAAGACAUCCACCUGAAGACGGAGGACAUCAUCCUCUCUGUCUUCAUCUCUAUGUUUUUGUCUUUUUCUCUCGCUCGCUCUUUCCUUUUAAGCCCUUAUCUUUUACCUUUAUUCAUUCAGCUUUUUGAAACUCUGCGACUGAGAACUUGAUUUGAAAUAUGUCAGGCCUGAGACUAGAUUAAUAUGUUAAUGUCUGUACAUUUUUUAAUUAAGUAAGAUUAACAGAAAUUCUGUAUGAUCCAGCAGGGAGCAUUUUAGCGUUUCAUGUGAAACACUUAUUUCACUGAUUUACUCUUUUUCUCUUUUCCCGUAACACUCGCAUACUCACUGCUUUUUCCCUCUCUUCAUUUCUUACAUGUUCUUUUGUUUUUCUUUAUCUGUUUCUUUUUCUCUUAUUGUAGUGAGUAUCUCUCCAUCGUGCAUGUUUGGAAUUGAACAAAGUACUAAAUAAAGAAUGACAUUUAUAAUACAUUUGAGAAUGAUAAAUAGAGCCUUAUUUCCCUUGUGUGUGUGGAGCAUAUAUGACAGUAAAGAACAGUUCUAUUGAUCCACAGUUUCAUUAGGUGAAAGCAGCUCCCAGUGAAAGAACAACCUAACCUCUAUCAGCAUUACAGUGGGGAGACAUUUGAAAAAUAUAUAUGCCAUUUAAGUAAUUAUUUAAACAUGCCACGCAUAAUACAAAUUAAUUGGCAGCUGCAAGCAUUUCAUUUUAAUGACCGGAGAUCACAUCCUAUUGCUUGAUUGAGUUGCACACAACGCCUGUAUUUCUGAAGCGUAAGCACACCCCAGCAGACAUACAGAUGUACUACAUUUUUUAACAGUGAGAGGGACUGAGCUAAGGGGAUACAUUAAUAUAAUGGGCCAGACGACACAGUGCCGCUUUGUGGCGUGGAGGAAUAAUCCUGUGGCACUCAUGAGACACACAAGCCUGUUGGGAUCCGCUAAACAGACUUGGUUUUACAGAUUUGAGGCUGUAUACAGAAACACCUCUGUUGUAUUUUUUUUAUCAUAGCUAGUGAUUUAAAGAGUUCAAAGAUACAUUAUUAUUAUUAUUUUAGUAGCAGCAUUCGUCCUGUAGAAAUCUAUUGUAUAAUUUCACAUUUCUUUUACUAUUUGAAAAUCGUUUUAAGAAAUGAGGCCAAUUUCUAGCUCAUAGCCCACAGAGAAUGAGUGAGACAGGCUUAACAAGCUUUCCUAGUUAGGCACUAUGAAAGGGGGCAACCUCUUCCUAAUAUGGUUGCCCAAAUAAUUUUGCUUGUUUGCACACAGACUAUUAUUGGCAAAACGGGGAGUUGUUGAAGUUUCGGCGAGCUGUGAUUAAGCGGAUGUAUUACCGUCACAAUCUUGCAAGACUUAUUCAAGCACCCUGUUCCUGCCACAAAGUGUCUCGCUGAUAAGAGCAGGAUUCUAGGUCUCAUCAAUGGAAGCACUUAUCUGAAGAGGAAGAGGGAGUGAGAUUGAGCUUCAAUCCACACAACAAUUGUGUAUUAUCUUCAACGCUUUGAGACUCGGGCCUACCACAGGGACGUAUCACAUCCUUCAACACUUUUGCACAAGACCAACAGUUGUCUCUAUUUGGAACAAGAUGAAAAUGUUUAUGACAUCAUUAUCAUCGAUGACAUUUCAGUCCGGAUGUCUGAAGAACAGUGGAAUGCUGUUUCCUGACUAAGCUGCUGUGUCUGCACUCCGACUGUGUCCUGCUAUUACAUAAUUAAAUUUGGACUUGGAUGGUGCUUUUUAAGAGAUUAUGGCAGCAUAUGUUGCUUGAAAACGUGCCAGCCUUUCAAAUAGAGAGAGCUCUUUCAUGAAUCUUUCUGCCUCUAUUUGCCAUUGAGGGUUUAUUGAAAAUCGGAAUACACUUUUGUGCCAAUAGUUAAUGAAUUGGUGUUAUGAUCUUGGGCCAAAGGAUGCUGGUGUGCUAUAAAUUAGAAUAAAUGCCAGCUGGGAAUGAAUAAAUAAAUAAAUGUAUCAAUGUGUCAAGGCCUUGUAUUGUAUAUUCAGUGGAUUUGUAGCCCUGCCACAGGCGAAUUAUGUAACUACUUUAUCUGAAAUGUGAUUGAAAGUGUGUGUUGCUGUUGUGAAUGUGUCUCUAUAGUAAAAGCUCUAUCAUAUAUUUUGUUCCUUUUGUCUCCCUCGUUGAUAUAUUUCCCCCUGUCACUACACAGGCCAAAUAUAUCAUCUCCUUCACUUGAAGCCACGCAGGGUCCGUUAAGGUUUAAACUGCUAUUCCUGUCAUUAUUGCCUAUUAAAUCCAGCGCAGGUCAUAAAGGCCCUGCUGGUCCACUGUGUACCAUUGAGGUCAGGUGCAUUGCACUACUUUAUGAGCUCUUUUGUGCAUCACAGAGAUGCCGUGAAGUUCUGCACCUCACCGACACCUUAACGGAUAUAUGGGCCACGGUCUGUCAUCCAUUACCCCUGUCAGUGGCUUCGUUCAUCAGCUGUUAUAGCUGUCCAGUUCUCUUGCUCUCCACCUGAACGUUAUGACGCUCAGCCUGAUUUAAACCCCACUACUGUACCCAGUCGUUACAAUGCAUAUGGUUAGUGUCUCCCUGUCUCGCCCGCCGUCACAUUUACAGCAGUUUUCAGAAAAUGUUCUCUUUUACAAUCCCAUCAUCCCCCGUGAGUGAGGGAAUGGCUCGCUCUUGCGAUUUCAGAGGUCUCUGUUGUGUCCUGUGCUGACACAGGGGGAAAAUAAUAGAGUUUAUCUUCGGGUUUUAAGGGAUACUGACACACUGGGUUUUAUUUGACUUUUUUUAAAGACAUAUGUUCUUAUGGGAGGUAUUAAAGUCUCUGAUCGUUAGACACUGCCACAAAGAUGAUUACUUAAAGCUGAUAGGAUCCAGAAUAUUGCUUCCCUUAUACUGAUAUGCAGGAAACGUAUAGGACAAAUUCCCAUUUUAUGAUGAUACAGCAAAAUCUGUCUUUGGUGGAAAUUGCUUUUAUCCUAGUUAUCCACUUAAGUGUGUGUGACAGCAACACCAUUUCUCUGUAUCUUUCUCUUUCCUCCUUACAAUAUCUCCCCUGUCUCUGUUUGUCCUUUGCUUGUACUUGUCCAUAGUAUGGCUUUAACAUCACAUCAUUUUUCAAUUGGUUGCAUUUUAAAAGCAUAGUCCACCCCAAAAUGAAAAUUCUGUCAUGAAUUUCUCAAACUCAUGUUGUUCCAAACCUUUUUGGGGCACCA